UCAUCUAGGCAAUUCCACCCUGAACACACCCUAUCUCAGAAGCUAAGGCCUGGUUAGUACUUGGAUGGGAGACCCCCUGUAAAUACCAGGUGCCAGAGGCU
rfam:Callithrix jacchus chromosome 10, whole genome shotgun sequence